UAAGAUGGCUGAAAUAGUGGUGGAUUGUAGCUCCAUAUAUAAAGGUUUAAAUCCUUUUCUUAC
rnacentral:tRNA from 1 species